GACGAACGCUGGCGGCGUGCUUAGCACAUGCAAGUCGAACGGAAAGGCCCUGCUUUUGUGGGGUGCUCGAGUGGCGAACGGGUGAGUAACACGUGAGUAACCUGCCCUUGACUUUGGGAUAACUUCAGGAAACUGGGGCUAAUACCGGAUAGGAGCUCCUGCUGCAUGGUGGGGGUUGGAAAGUUUCGGCGGUUGGGGAUGGACUCGCGGCUUAUCAGCUUGUUGGUGGGGUAGUGGCUUACCAAGGCUUUGACGGGUAGCCGGCCUGAGAGGGUGACCGGCCACAUUGGGACUGAGAUACGGCCCAGACUCCUACGGGAGGCAGCAGUGGGGAAUAUUGCACAAUGGGCGGAAGCCUGAUGCAGCAACGCCGCGUGCGGGAUGACGGCCUUCGGGUUGUAAACCGCUUUCGCCUGUGACGAAGCGUGAGUGAGGGUAAUGGGUAAAGAAGCACCGGCUAACUACGUG
rnacentral:rRNA from 1 species